UUUAGGAGGAAUUAGGCAACAAGGCAGCGGGCAAAGUUAAUGUAAAAGUCAAGAUGUAAUUCUAGGAAGAUGUUAGUCUUAGCGGUGAAUUUCGUACUAGUCAAUAUUUUAGAAAAAAAUUGGCCUCUUUUAACUAGAAGACGAAUCCAAACUGGAUCUAGAGACUGAAACCUUACUAGUAUAAAUAAGAGAUGUCGUAAUCAAUUUUUUUAUUCAAUUAAUGAAUGUAAAAAGCAAUUAAAACUCUAAUUUUGAAAUUCCUAUUAUUUUCUAUUUUUUUUCUUCGAGAAGUUCAGUUUCUCAACUUUGUUUUUUGCCCAUAGAGAGAAGACUGUGGGUACUCUAGGGCGUGCAGUGCUGAUAAUUUGGCUUUUUGUGGUUUUAAUUAUUCAGUCUAGCUACACAGCUAGUCUGACAUCAAUUCUCACUGUGAAACAACUCUCAUCUCCACUCAAAGGAAUUGACAGCUUAAUACGUAGCGAGGAACCUAUCGGGAUUCAAGUAGGUUCAUUCACUGAAAAUUAUCUGGUUGAGGAGCUUGGCAUUUCUAGAUCCAGGCUAAAAGUUCUUGGUACUCCAGAACAGUAUGCUAGAGCCCUUGAACUUGGUCCUAGCAAUGGUGGUGUUGCUGCUGUGAUAGAUGAGCGACCAUAUGUUGAGGCAUUUCUAUCCACCCAGUGCAGAUUUGCAAUAGUAGGCUCAGAAUUUACCAGAAGUGGCUGGGGAUUUCUGAGUUAAGUUAAUUGAACGAAUUUCCUUCUCUCACCAAUUGGAUCAUCUAGAUUAUGGCAAUGAGUAUAAUUAAGUCAGGUUGGAAGAGCUCUCUUAUAGUUGCACAAGUCCUGGUAUUGGAAUAAUAGUGCUAUAUCUAUAAAUAAACAACAUAUGCUUAUGUACGAUAUGCAUGUUAUAUGUUAAGGGUUAUAAUGUAUCAUAAUCAUGGGUAAUGUGCUAUGAUUUCUAAUUGAUGAUUUUUAGAUUUAAAUCUCAUCAGCACUUGCUCCUAAAAGUACAUUGUGCCAUAUGUGAGUUACAUUGAAGAGGCUUUGUACCAUCAUAUCUACUAAGCCAUUUAUGGCAUUAUCACAUCAUGCCAAUGUUCUCUUCAAAUUAACACAAACAUGUGAAAGCCCUAACUUUGUAAAAAAGUAAUCACGUUGUAUAUUUCUGGUAUUUUAAUGCAAUUGGAUUGUUCUUCUUCUGACUCAUGGGUAAUUCUGAUGUCUGCUUCAUAUAUUUUAAGCUCCCUGUCUCUGUGAAUUGGCAUUUUGUGGAAAAGGCACUCAACACUAGUACAUUGCUCUUAAGAUGAAAUAAAGUUCUCAAAAUGCACAAUACCAUUAAGAUCGCAGACAUUGACCUGUCAUUUAUAUGCAUGAGUACCUUUGGAGCUUAGGUAGUAGCAUGUCAGUAAAAUAGGAGUCAAACUUGCUUCAUUUAUGAUGUUGAGGCCUAGAUUGAAUGAAAAUGGGUUGAACACAGUUAAACAAACAAAGGUUUUGCCCAUCUUGAUGUAUAUUGAUGACCUCUUCCUUGUUAGCUUAAGCUUUUGGAUACUAGUGGUUACUUAAGAUCACAUCAUGGUAACAGAGUUGAAGAUCAUGGAUUCAAAUCCCCUUGAGGCAAUUUUUCUUUAGUUCAAUCGUUUGUUAUCUUGGGUCUUUUCUUCACUUGACAUUAAUUAACAUGGCAUUAGAGCAUAUGUUUGUUUGAGAACAUGAGUUUGAAUCUCCUCCAUGCUUGUUAUUUUAUUUAAUUAACCUAGCUAUAUUGCCCCAUUCUAGUCUCCACAUGUGUAAUUUGUGCCACACAUUGGGGGAGGGGUGUUAAGCUUGAUAUACGUUGUUGACCUAUUCCUUAUUAGCUUAAGUUUUUUGCAAUCUAUUGGUUAGUUAACAGAUUUAUAAGACAACUCUAAAAUUGUUUAUUCCUAUGUAAAUUGGUAAAAGCAUUAAAAUUGUGAAAAUUAUGUGUAGAUAGGUGGGAAUCUACAAUUGUCAAAAGACCAUGAGGGACCAUCAAUUCAGCAAAACCAGUUUUACAAUAUCACGCAUCCAUGUGACCCUGAGACUUGGCAUAUGUUAAGUUCAAGCUGAAUGAACAAGCAAACACAGUGCAUAUAGCGUGUGAUUGGUGACUAUAUUGUCUCUGUCACUCCCUAAACCCAACAGUCGGGUCCGGGCAUGCGACACAGCUGCACACUCCCUAGGACAAAGCCCUAAAGAAUAUGCUAGGCCUGAAAAUUUAAUACAACCUCAAUAUUCGUAAUCAACAAUGAUCUCAAUUUAUACCAAACAAUAAAGUUGAUCUAAUUACAAAAUUUGAGCAUCCAACUAGUAUCAGUGAUGAUCUAUCUACUCAUCCUUUCAUCCGUGAUCCCAACUAUAGCCAAGUACCAAUAGACCUGCAACUCUGAAAGAAAAAAAAAAGGUGAUGUGAGUUUUACAGCCCAGUAACAAUUUUCACACAUCCAUGCCAACACAAUAAUAUAAGUUUGAAAAUAGCAAGAAAUCGUCACACACAUCAUGAAAUCACAAACCGAUUAUCUAUAAUACUUGAAUAAAUAGUAUACAUAUGUACAUCAAAUAUCAAUAGGAAUCUAGCCACUCAAGAGUACUAUAUCAUAUGAUAUCUCAAUUCCUCAAUAGUGUUUUCAAUGUUUUUCAUUCCAUUUCUUUUUAACUUGAUCUGGAUCAAUUAUCUUUUCGACUUUGGGCUAAAUUUCGGUCACGUUUCUUGCUCAUGACGGGGCAACCAAAAGUAUCACAUUUCCGUCCUGUGACUGGGCCUACUAUGGUAUCACAUUUCCAGCCUGUGACAGGGCUUGCUAUAGUAUCACAUUUGUAGCUUGUGACAGGGUAACCGAUGAUAACGAGAUAAGCCCAAAAUUCUUAUUCAUUCAAUCAAGUUCAUAUCCACGCAUCAAUUACUUUUUAUUUUUGGCUUUAGACUAACCAUGAUCACGUUUCUCGCUUGUAAUGGAACGAUCAAGAUAACACGGGUAGUCUAGAGCACCACAUCUAUUAGUCCGAUUAUGCAAGUGUAAGUUAUGCUCACAUAUGCAUCCAUCAUACUAUCAAUCACAAGCAUACAUGAUCAAAAUACGAUUUAAUAUGGAAACCAUUAUAAAACUAUUCUUGCUUCCUACUUACGUAGAUCAUUAGUAUAUCAUACAUAUAUAGGUACAAAAAUAUUUAUAUCAUACAGGUCAGUGUACAAGGAUUCUUACCUUUUGCUAACAAUCCAGACCGACUAAUUAUCUACCUACACUGUGAUCUAUAAACCAGGGUGCGCAGAAUUCUGCUCAACGUCCUCUUACCUAGAAAAUUAUUCUCCUACAGAACCAAAUCAAUAUCAAAAUUUAUUCGAGGUAUCCUACAACCCAGAAUCCUCUACUGGUCUACUAAAUGGUCCACCAUCACGUAGUAAUUUGGGCUACCCUCUGAGUCUCUUUAACAAAAAUUUUCUCGGAUGAAGCUAGAGAGAGAAAAUACUAAAAGAAAGAAACAGAAAGAGAAAAACUAGAGUAUAAGAAUUUUAUCAAGAAACAUAUAUCAAAUUAAAAAAAUUUGAUCAACUAGUAUCCGACGAUCCGGGUCGGUCCGCUCUAGCCAAUCAAAAAGAAAGAAGAGAGAGAAGACUCUCUUCUUCCUUCUCAAACAGGGGAAGCCGAUCUUUCCCUCUCUUCUUAGAUUAGAGCGUGGCAGGCCACCAAGUCGGCCCAGCCUUGGCGACGAUGGCCACGGGCGGCCCGUCAGCCACGACACCGUUGGCGACGGUAGUUGCCCGAUGCGAAGAAGGGAAGAAGAAAAUCAUCAAAGACCCAAUCAAACUCGUCCUGAAACUUGGCUAUCUCCCUAACCGGUGGCCACACGUUCACAUGGGUUCCUAGGGGUGGCAAGGCUCAGCCAAAUCUAGCAGCCGACAAUGAUGAACACGGGAGGAAGAGACCCCAAAACAGGGCACCCAUGUUUUAGAUUAAAUCCCGACGACUUGCCAGCUUAAGCAAAAGGAAAACACGGCUAGAUGACCGGAAGAAGAAGAGAGGAGUGGCGUGGAUCCUGCCUUAGUUCGGCAAAGAUCCAACGACUCUUCCCGGCGAUAAUCCAAGGAAAAAAAACUUGACAUUAGAAGUCAAAAUCGGCGGCUAGAUUUCGGUCUUCAUUGGUGAAGCUAAGAGGAGGAAGGAGGAUUAAAUAGGAAAAUCUCAGAGUUCUAGACGAACUCAAAUUGCUCUCGGGGAGUCUCUAACUCCGCCGGGAUUGGAGGUGGAAGACUCCCGACCGUGGUCUUCUUUCCUGAUGUCCUCACGUGCUGAGCAUUGGUCGGGUUCGAGCCUGGCCUAUUCGGGCCAGCCCACAGGCUGGGCUAGUCGGGGUCGGGCUAGGCCUGGCCACUCUAGGUCGGCCCACGAGCCCUAAAAAAUCGGGUUAUUACAGUCUCAAGUACCAAAAAAAAUACAUUAAACCUAGCAGUGGUCUUACAUAAUCUUGGAUUGCAUGGAUGUUGCUCUUGAAUAUUGCUUCUUAACUUGAUUUUGUUUUUUAUUUUAUUUUUUCCCUUUUAGGUAAUCCAAACUUCCUUGAAUUAAAUUCAGCCUUUCCAGGAUUAUUUUUUUAUUAUUUUAAACAUGUAAUUAGUUUUGGACCAAAAACCCUGAAAUUGCCAAAAGUAAUGGUAUAACUUAUUUUGACCACAUAUUGAGAUCAGAACAGACUUUUAACCUUGUCUUUUAUGAGCUAGCUAGUUGGUAUUUGAGGUUUAAUUUCUUUCUCAUUUCCUACUAGAUUUCGCCUGCCUGACUUGUAAGUCCCUACUACUUUAAGGGGCUAUAUUUGUUUUGUUCAGAAUAAAAAAAUAUCUUAGAAAAUCUAUCAUAAACCACACACUUCCACCUUAUCCUUUUUAUGCAUCUAUUGUAUGCCUCUUCCUAUGAUACAUAAUAGUCAAUUAAAUAAACAAGUAAUAUAGGCAUGGACUGCACAUGGAUCUUUGCUUGGAUUCUAGCUAAGUUGGAACAAAGGUUAGGGUUCUUUAGAAAUGUUAGGGUCACACCUUACCCAAGUUAAGCCUAGCCUCAAGCAAAUGAAUUGGACUGUGCUUGAUGUAAUAGGAGAGGGGUGGAGGGUCGGUUGGGUCUAAAACCAUUGAAGUUGACACAUGGAAGACCAAAGUGGUGGUUAACAGGUAGUAGCAGCUAACAAGCAAGAAUAGAAUAGGCAUGAGGAACACUUAUAUGAUAUGAGUGUUCAGAGGGAAGAGGAGUAACAUGUCAAGAUGAACAGAAGGACAAGAGAGAAGUACAGUAAAAUGUAUACAACCUUUUAUCAUAUAUGCUAAUAAAUCUUUUAUAUUAAAUAAUUGUAAUUUAUAUAAAGCAUUGUGCUAGGUUUGUGUUGUGCUAGCUUGGUCUACAUUGUGUCCUAAACUAUUUUGGUCCUUUGAACUUGAGCUUGAUCAACCCAAAUUUUGAACUAGGGUGACUCAUAUCUUAGCUAAUAAUGGGAAGGCCAACCUGAAGGCUUUGGUAUGACUUGGGUCUGUCCCCAACCAUAGUUUCACAUAAAGAAAGCUUCUUUCAGAUGGGUUGUUGAGAUUAACUAAAACCAAGGAUUUAAGUGCUACUAGCACGUAGCAUCCUAGCUAGUGCUAGUAUAGGGCAUACUGUGCUAACUAAGAUCCGCAAUCUCGAUACCGGAUACCAUUUCGGUACCUUAUUGGUUUGAUAUAGUACUGUAGGUAAGGCAUGGUAUGCACUCCGUACUGAAAUAACUCACUAAUUAUUUUUCUCACUUUUUAUCUCGGUAUGCCUUGAUAUGGAUCGGUACACCUCAAUACAGGUUGGUACGCCGAGGUAUGGGUCAAUACACCUUGGCACAAGGUGGUGUGUCUCAGUAUAGGAUGGUACGAGACUUGUACCAGCCUGAACUUGAGUUUUGUACUGGUUUCCACCUAGUACAAUACAGUACACUCCGUAUCAGGCAGUACGGGCUAGUAUGACAGAUCAGGGUGCCAACACAUGUUGUGUUUUGCUAGAACCUCAUGCUUUGCACUAGGUCAAUAUUGAGUAGCACUAACCAUGUGAUGUGUUCUGGUAUUGGCCUAGCAAGGUGUGUGCUUCCCUGCAUAAACUUGUACGAUCCAGCAAUUGAAACACUGAAUAGUUUCUUUUGAAUGAAACACUAUAUUUUUUCUUAUUUUCAGGGAAAAACAUUGUAUAAAUUGGAAUCUUUUUUGAAAUGAUGUCAUUGUGCUGAUAGAUUUACAGCCAUUAAUUUUCAUUGUCAUGGUCUAAAAAAAAAUGCUUAUUAUGUCCACAUUGCUUAAUUGUUAGCAUGAUUCAUAUAUGGUUCCUUAUUGUGCCAAGAAUAGAAACAAAAUUGUAUGUAAGAAGCACGACCUUGUAAGGGUGUAUCUUUUCUAUGCUAGAUAUUGUUAUUAGCAUUUUUUUCCCUGCUUAUCUAUUCUUUCUGCAUCUAUUCUUAUUAAAAUAUAUAUCAAUAUGUAUUGAUCAAACCACACAAUCUUCCUAUUCCAAAAUUAUGUAGAAUCUAAUUCUGUAUGAUGCUGUCUCUUGGCAGGUUCAGUUUCUCAACUUUGUUUUUUGCCCAUAGUAAGUAAACUUAAUCUUUUUUAUAAUCCUUUCUUAAUCAAAUUAAAGUUCUUUAGACUGACAUAUUUCUCUUUCUUUUGAUUUCUCAGGAGAGAAGACUGUGGGUACUCUAGGGCGUGCAGUGCUGAUAAUUUGGCUUUUUGUGGUUUUAAUUAUUCAGUCUAGCUACACAGCUAGUCUGACUUCAAUUCUCACUGUGAAACAACUCUCAUCUCCACUCAAAGGAAUUGACAGCUUAAUACGUAGCGAGGAACCUAUCGGGAUUCAAGUAGGUUCAUUCACUGAAAAUUAUCUGGUUGAGGAGCUUGGCAUUUCUAGAUCCAGGCUAAAAGUUCUUGGUACUCCAGAACAG
rnacentral:lncRNA from 1 species